GACGAACGCUGGCGGCGUGCCUAACACAUGCAAGUCGAACGGACAGGCCCUGCUUUUGUGGGGUGCUCGUGAGGCGCACGGGUGAGUAACACGUGAGUAUACUGCCCUUGACUUUGGGAUAACUUCACGAAACUGGGGCUCAUAUCGGAUAGGAGCUCCUGCUGCAUGGUGGGGGUUGGUAAGUUUCGGCGGUUGGGGAUGGACUCGCGGCUUAUCAGCUUGUUGGUGGAGUAGUGGCUUACCAAGGCUUUGACGGGUAGCCGGCCUGAGAGGGUGAACGGGGACAAUGGGACUAAGAGACGGCGCAGACGCGUACGGGACGCGGCGGUGGGAAAUAUUGCACAAUGGGCGGAAGCGUGAUACAGCAGCGCUGCGAGCGUGAUGACGGCCUACGGGGUGAAAACCGCUGUCGCCGGUGACGAAGCGUGAGUGACGGUAAUUGGUAAGGAAGCACCGGCUAACUACGUG
rnacentral:rRNA from 1 species